GCUGGUUCAAAACAGGAAACUUAAGACAGCUCAAGAAGAACACAAUCCACAACGAAGUGAGAAUGGUGAAGAGGGCAUCUAUACGGGUUUGACUCCUCAUGCCCAGGACACAUAUGAGACAAUACGCAUGAAGAAGUGACAUGAUGGAGGAAACUUCUAAACAGACCUUUCCCUCUGAAUACCUUUAUGUUUUUAUAUAAAUAUUGCAUAUCUUAACCUGCCUAGAUUAGGAGAGAAUGUAAGAUGUCGUGCACCAGUGUUCAUUUCUCUUUUGCUUUUGUAGAGGUUGUGGGAAGUUAAGAAGGAUGAGACAGAAAAUAGGGAAGCUGAGUCCAAAACAGGGACAUUAUCAGAAAAGCUCUGUCCUUGUUGUAUAACAUAUUUUUACUGCUUUGUUGGCUGUAUGUAACUUUUAUACAAGCAUAUUUUGAUCAUUAUAAUCCUUCAGAUAUAUUUUCUACUGUACUUAUGAAUAAAAAGAUAAAUGCUGUGUUUUUGAUGUUUAUCUUUGUUGCUGUGUUUAACACGCAGCUGAUUUCUGUGCCAACAUAUCAAACUGGUCCUCAUCUCCUGCAACACUCUGUCCAUCUCACUUUCUCUUUUAGAUCAUCUGACAGAUAUCAGUCCGUUUACAUAUGAAUGUGUGAAUGAGAGAUUCACAAAGCUGAUGAUGCUG